GACGAACGCUGGCGGCGUGCUUAACACAUGCAAGUCGAACGAAGUGGCGAACGGGUGAGUAACGCGUAAUCAACCUGCCCUUCAGAGGGGGACAACAGUUGGAAACGACUGCUAAUACCGCAUACUUACGGAGGGGCUUGCGUCUGAUUAGCUAGUUGGAGGGGUAACGGCCCCCCAAGGCGAUGAUCAGUAGCCGGGAGGGGAGGAGGAACGGACACAGUGGGAAUGAGAAACGGACCAGACUCCGACGGGAGGCAGCAGUGGGGAAUCUUCCGCAAUGGACGAAAGUCUGAAGGAGCAACGCCGCGGGAGUGAUGACGGCCUUCGGGUUGUAAAGAUCUGUUAAUCGGGACGCGGUACCGGAAUAGAAAGCCACGGCUAACUACGUGCCAGCAGCCGCGGUAAUAC
rnacentral:rRNA from 1 species